rfam:Cavia porcellus supercont2_9 genomic scaffold, whole genome shotgun sequence.
GCCCUCCUCAGGUUCAUAAGGGUGAUGAUUGGGUGCUCAUGCUCCAUGCAUGACAUGUUUCCUUUGAACCUUGUUAUGACGUUGGCACAUUACCUAUCUGACG